rnacentral:rRNA from 1 species
GACGAACGCUGGCGGCGUGCUUAACACAUGCAAGUCGAACGGUGAAGCGAGUGCUUGCACUCGUGGAUCAGUGGCGAGCGGGUGAGUAACACGUGAGUAACCUGCCCAUCACUCUGGGAUAAGCACUGGAAACGGUGUCUAAUACUGGAUACGACCAACCCUUGCAUGGGGUGUUGGUGGAAAGAUUUAUCGGUGAUGGAUGGACUCGCGGCCUAUCAGCUUGUUGGCGGGGUAAUGGCCCACCAAGGCGACGACGGGUAGCCGGCCUGAGAGGGUGACCGGCCACACUGGGACUGAGACACGGCCCAGACUCCUACGGGAGGCAGCAGUGGGGAAUAUUGCACAAUGGGCGAAAGCCUGAUGCAGCGACGCCGCGUGAGGGAUGACGGCCUUCGGGUUGUAAACCUCUUUCAGCAGGGAAGAAGCGAAAGUGACGGUACCUGCAGAAGAAGCACCGGCUAACUACGUG